rnacentral:lncRNA from 1 species
GGAAAUAUUUUGGAGAAAUGGUGGGGCUGUGUGUCCAUCUUUUCUGUCCAAAAUUCAGAGAUUAUUAAAAAUUUAACCUACCAAGUCAGAGGUAUAUUCUUCCAAAUUUUUUCAGGACAAAUACUAAUCUCUAUUCUUUUAUUGCUUAAUUCUUUUUUUGUUUGUUUGUUUUUUUGUUUUACCAGACAUAAAAAGUCAUUUAUUUAUUUUGUUUUUUUGUUUGUUUUUUGUUUUGUUUUGUUUUGUUUUGAGACAGGGUUUCUCUGUGUAUUCUGGCUUUCCUGGAACUCACUCUGUAGACCAGGCUGGCCUCGAACUCAGAAAUACGCCUGCCUCUGCCUCCCAGGUGCUGGGAUUAAAGGCGUGCACCACCACUGCCUGUGGUGGUGGUGUGAAGGCCUGGCUUACCUACCAUGGUUCUUGCUUCUGGAGGAACAGCGUGCUCAGUGCAGUGUGCAGUCUCAGGUGAGGAGAGACCUGAAGAUCAUAGCGCUCACAGUGUCAUGUAGACAGAGGAAAGGAGCAUGGGACAGAACGCUGGAGGGGUGAGUGAUGGUAUGAAGCUCUGGGAGGCUGGAGAUGAUGAUUUCCAGCUUGCAGAAGCUGAGUAUUUGUGAAGAUUGCCUUCUCAUAGUUCACAAUCUGGGGACAAGGACAGCUCAGAACUUUGGAGCUUGGCAUGCUGAACUAGAACCUAGAGUGUCUCUGGAAGAGUUCCUUAAAUUUGCAUAUACCUAUGCAAAUUUUAUUAUGUUAAAAUCUUUAUAGUAUAUAUUAUUGUUAAUGUCUAUUCUAAAAUGGGAAACUUGAAGCUCACAGUAAAGACAGUUCCAAAUUUAUGAUAGCUCUUUCUGGUUUUUUAAACUUUAUUACAAUAUAACCUCACAGUAAAUAAAAGAAUAUAUUUAAAUAUAUGAGUCUAGAAG